rnacentral:rRNA from 1 species
UACGUAGGCAGCAAGCGUUGUUCGGAGUUACUGGGCGUAAAGGGUGUGUAGGCGGUUUUCUAAGUCUGGUGUGAAAUCUCCCGGCUCAACUGGGAGGGUGCGCCGAAAACUGGAAGGCUAGAGUGCGGGAUGGGAGAGUGGAAUUCCUGGUGUAGCGGUGAAAUGCGCAGAUAUCAGGAGGAACACCCGUGGCGAAAGCGGCUCUCUGGGACGGUACUGACGCUGAGACGCGAAAGCGUGGGGAGCAAACAGG